rnacentral:tRNA from 1 species
UCCCUGGUGGUCCAGUGGUUAAGACUCUGCACUCGCAACACAGGGGGCCCAGGUUCAAUCCCUGGUCAGGGAA